AGUGUUGCGGUUAAAAAGCUCGUAGUUGGAUUUCUGUUGAGGAUGACCGGUCCGCUCUUUGAGCGCGUAUCUGGUUCAGCCUUGGCAUCCUCUUGAGGAACGCUACUGUGCUUGAUUGCAUGGGGCGGUAUUCAAGACUUUUACUUUGAGGAAAUUAGAGUGUUCACUGCAAGCGUUAGCAAUUGAAUACAUUAGCAUGGAAUAAUAAUAUAGGACCUUGGUACUAUUUUGUUGGUUUCUAGAACUAAGGUAAUGAUUAAUAGGGACAAUUGGGGGCAUUCGUAUUAACGCGUCAGAGGUGGAAUUCUUAGAUUGCGUUACGACGAACUACUGCGAAAGCAUUUGCCAAGGAUGUUUUCAUUGAUCAGAACGAAAGUAUGGGGAUCGA
rnacentral:rRNA from 1 species